UUUAAAAAACAUGUUUGGUACAUGUAUAAUGUCCAUAGCAUUUGACAUAUUUAAUUUAAAGUAUCGAUCAGUCUUACAGCUCGGUCAGUCUUACAGGUAAACUACGUGAAGCGUUCCUCUUUUGACUUCCUAAGUCAUUUGGAAUUUUCUUCAUUAGCUUUGCAAAUUUGAAGGAAUUUGAAAUGUUCCUGUCGGCUGUUGCAAUAUUCCAAUGCAGCAAACUUCAUUUUAAAUUUUCCUAACUUCCUAUUUUAAUUUCCUGACUUCCUGUUCUGUUCUGAGCGUUGUCAUUGGUGGAUUAUUUUUGUUAGCCAAUAGCAACACGCAGAACAGAGCAGGAAGUUAGGAACUUGUAACAGGAAGUUAAGAACUUGUAACAGGAACUGAGGAAAAUUUAAUUGGCUUUUAAUAACGUUGCAAAUUCCCUCAAGGGAUUUGCAAGGGACGUUUUAAAUUGCAAAGGUAAUGAGGAAAAUUGCAAUCAAUUUAGAAACUCAAAACCCUUGACGUAGUUUACCUGUAAUCUUAUACAAAUCUAACUGUUGAGCUGAUCAAAAUCCAUUAAAUUAAAUGCUCUUAAUUUGAGAUUCUUACUUAAUUUGAGUUAUAUGAAAUUUAUGGUAUACUGUUCGCUGCAGGUAU